GCUCGUGCCACAAAGACGCACAUAAAAAUCAGACUUAUAAAAUCAGCUAACACACCCAAUCUAGCACGUGACUGCCUGUCUGUGCCCAUUUAUAGGCCACAACCUAGACACAUUUAGGCACAUGCAUAUAUCCCAAAAAUAAUUGACAACCCCAACUACUAGGUCAUUAAAUUCAAUUAUGAAUUUCAAAUUACAAGUUCAUCCAAUGUUGUUGACAAAGCCAAACAGUUACAAUUGAAAAAAUUAUGCAUACAGCCAACAAAUUUGGUGCCAAAUGCCUUCUUUGGACCCAACUUAUUGCUUGCCUACGUGCAUGCCUCGUGUGCAGAUCCGCCCCCGCACAACUGGUUAUUGGUGUCUAUUUUUCAUAGUCGUCUACCUUGUUGAACUCAUAAUCCACGAACUUGACUUAGCCAUGAUCAUGUGACAUCAUAGUCUUGUCUUACCUUAGUUUGUCAGCCUUUGUCAUGCCUUAGCCACGCAACUACCUGGCUUGCUUAGCCAUACCACUGCUCUGCUUGCCUUAGCCACGCCACUGUCAAGGUUUUGUCAUUCCUCGUCGGCAGAUAGACUGGCAACAAUUAAAUAUGAUGUUAACAAAAGUCAUUUGGUCAUGGCUAGGUUCUGUUGGGGAACGAUGAUAAAACAAUAAUAACAAUAUUAAUUAAUUGUUAACACAAUAAUACAAUAAUUAUAAUAUUAGCAGAAUAAUAACAUAACAGUAUAUAAUAAUAAUAAUAAUAAUAAUACUUCAAUAAUAAUAUGAUAAUUAAUAUUAUAACAGUAACAAUGAUAUAAUUAUUGUUAACAAGUGAAUAAUAUUAAAUAAAAGGUACUGAAUAUUAAAUAAAAAUUAUUGUAGUAUUAUUUUAAGUGAUGUAUUAAUUAUAUUUGAGUCGUGCUAGGCACUGUCCUAAAAACUAUUUCAGCAGUGUAAAAUAUUUCCCCAGGAUUAAUCAAGCACUUCCCUGAUUAAUUAGAGAAUAUUAUGAGUUAAAUAAGUUUUUUCUAAUUAACCAGAGGAUACAAGAAUCAACAAAAUUAUUAAUACAAAUA
rnacentral:lncRNA from 1 species